UUCUCUGUAGAGUCUGCAUAUCAAUAAGCGGAGGAAAAGAAACUAACUAGGAUUCCCUCAGUAACGGCGAGUGAAGCGGGAAGAGCUCAAAUUUGAAAUCUUCAAGGUUCUACCUUGACGAAUUGUAGUUUAAAGAAGUGUUUUCUGUUGGAGUUUUGGUAAAAGUUCUUUGGAAUAGGACAUCAUAGAGGGUGAGAAUCCCGUAUUUGACUUAUUCACUCUAGCGUUGUGAUACACUUUCAAAGAGUCGGAUUGUUUGGGAAUGCAGUCCAAAAUGGGUGGUAAAUUUCAUCUAAAGCUAAAUAUUGGCGAGAGACCGAUAGCGAACAAGUACCGUGAGGGAAAGAUGAAAAGAACUUUGAAAAGAGAGUUAAACAGUACGUGAAAUUGUCAAAAGGGAAGCGUUUGACACCAGUGUUGUUUUCUCGAAAAUCAAUUAAGAAUGGCUUGAUUUUGUGUUGUAUUGACCUUAUAAGCUUUCUGCACUUUUUUCAUGUCUUUUUAAUGCACUUUUCGGUUAACAAGUCAACAUCAAUUUCUUUUGUUGUAAAAGGGUCAUUGGAAGGUGGCUUUCUUUUCGGAGAAAGUGUUUAUAGCCUUUGGCCUCUGCAAUCGGAGAGAUUGAGGUCUGCAGCGUAGAUCCUUCGGGGUUAGAUACAGUUAGAUGCUAAGUUAUAGCCUUUUCAUAGACAACUUGUUGACUAUAAUCAUCAUGUAGCUUACUCGCUUAUGGCUAUUUUACCUACGCUUAGGAUGUUGACGAGACUGUCGAUCUC
rnacentral:rRNA from 1 species